rnacentral:lncRNA from 1 species
UCAGCACAUUUUCUGAGACAGCAGCCCCUGCUGAGUGCUACCUCCCCCAUUUCUUUCUAACCUUUUAAUGAAAAAUAAACCUCUAGCCAGAUCCAUUAGAUCAGGUCAUUAAAUUAACUGUUGUUUUCACUGGAACUUCUGAGAGGUCACUGCCUACAGCUGUGGAGGAUGUAUUUGAUACAACAUGCCUGGCCCAGCUGGGCACCACCUAAAUAGUCUAUGCCCAUCCUCUCCAAUGAACCCCAACCUUCUCAUCCUGCCCAGGACAUGAACACUAAACUUCCAGAGAACUAUGGACUCAAACAAUUGCAGAAUUGUGAAAAUCCUCAAGAGUCCAGUCCAACUCCUCUGCAAAUCAUGAAUUCACCCCACAACACCCCUAAGGAAUGGUCAUCCAACCUGUGCUUGAAAACUUCAGGUGGUAAUACUUGGAAACUUCCACUAAGGGUUGGAAGAAAGGGGAUCCUCUCCAUACCAGCAUCACAGAAAUCCUACCCACAUAACAGCCUUGGUCCCUGGCUGCCUUUUCCUCUUUUAUAAUAGCUCUUUCCUUUUCUAAGAUAAACAAGUAUCUCAAGUUGGAUGUGUCCAGGAUUAGAGACAACCAUUUGAACUUAAGAGGCCCAGAGGUCCUGGAUUCCAUCAAAUUGGAGACAAAUGACCUUUUGUUAAUUCUCUGACAACUUCAAUGUUCUUGGAGAGGACUAACCCAAACCUGUCUGGUUUGCCAGCAAACAAUGUACUGGGAAUUAUUUUGAUAGUACGGAGCCAAGAUGAAAUGUAAAAUGAAUGAUUAAGGGUCUUGCCAGAUGUUUUAUGUUCUGGUGAGGUUUAAGUAUCAUCCUUCCAGUAGAAUGGAACAGUAGCUGCUGAAUUGUGUUUUAAGUGGUUCUGUUAAUAAGCACUGUGAUUCUUUUAUGUUUAGCAUUUUUUGUGUGUAUAGAAACAAAUUGCUGGUUCUCAGAUUGAUACCUAUUGUACAUGGAACCCUUUCUUUACUCCUUCUUUUCUGGAGAAACCCCAAGUAUGAACUAUAGCCUAAACUAUAAAUAAAAUUGUCCCGAAUCAAGAUCA